GGCGUAUGAUGGGGCCGCAACAAUGAGCGGCCAUUUAAGUGGCGUUGGAGCCCGGUUACAAGCGGAGAAUCCAAUAGCUUAUCGAAACCACAGUGCAAACCACCGGUUAGAUUUGGUUUUGAAGGCCUGUGCCAAAGAGAGCAAACUUAUUAGUGAUAUCCUUAGCUAUGUACAGGAGUUGGCCGUUUUCAUCAGGGACUCUCCAGUUCGUAUGGCUGUGUAUGAGAGUAUUGCCAAAGACUGUCUGGCAAACGAAGAUGAAAAAUCCGUCGUAAAUCUUCACCUUCUUUGCCCAACUCGAUGGACUGUUAGAACCAGUGCGAUAAAAGCCACCUUGGACAAUUAUCAAGGAAUAUAUGAUACGUUAAGGAACAUUUCAAGAACCGCGUCAACGAGAGAUAGUCGUGACAAAG